rnacentral:rRNA from 1 species
UACGUAGGGGGCUAGCGUUGUCCGGAAUCAUUGGGCGUAAAGCGCGUGUAGGCGGUCCGGUAAGUCCGCUGUGAAAGUCGAGGGCUCAACCCUCGAAUGCCGGUGGAUACUGUGAGGCUAGAGUACGGAAGAGGCGAGUGGAAUUCCUGGUGUAGCGGUGGAAUGCGCAGAUAUCAGGAGGAACACCAAUAGCGAAGGCAGCUCGCUGGGACGUUACUGACACUGAGGCGCGAAAGCGUGGGGAGCGAACAGG